AGCAAUGACUUGUUUUCUAGUCUACCGCGAUGUAGUUCAGAGGUAAAAUGUCUAAAAUUCUCUAAAUUGAUGGCACUUAAAGUAAUCGUGAGUUAGCCAUAGUAGGCCGUCUGAAAUUAGUGAAAGGUACCCGCAUCUUGGUUCUUCCACCUUCAAUUCAUCGCGUAAAAAGAGAAACAACGGUACUCCAUGUGCAACAGGUCUGCCUCGGAACAGCGGCGGUACCGCCAGUAAAAGUUCUUCUAAUACUGGAAGCUCGGCGUAACGACUGGGAACCAUCCAGUCCAACGACAGAACCACUGAAGCAAGAUGCGCCUAAUCCUCGUACAGCUACGAAGAGUUUACUAAUAUCCUCUCUGAAAUAGCCCGAAAACUCAUAUUAUAUAAAAGGCUUUACUAUCGAUUCAAUAAAAAAAAAUAUUAAACACCA